rnacentral:rRNA from 1 species
AGAGUUUGAUCCUGGCUCAGAUUGAACGCUGGCGGCAGGCCUAACACAUGCAAGUCGAGCGAAUGAGGGGAGCUUGCUCCCUGAUUUAGCGGCGGACGGGUGAGUAAUGCGUAGGAAGCUGCCCGAUAGAGGGGGAUACCAGUUGGAAACGACUGUUAAUACCGCAUAAUGUCUACGGACCAAAGUGUGGGACCUUCGGGCCACAUGCUAUCGGAUGCGCCUACGUGGGAUUAGCUAGUUGGUGGGGUAAUGGCUCACCAAGGCGACGAUCCCUAGCUGGUUUGAGAGGAUGAUCAGCCACACUGGAACUGAGACACGGUCCAGACUCCUACGGGAGGCAGCAGUGGGGAAUAUUGGACAAUGGGCGCAAGCCUGAUCCAGCCAUGCCGCGUGUGUGAAGAAGGCCUUCGGGUUGUAAAGCACUUUCAGUGGGGAGGAAGGGUGUUGUUUUAAUAGAGCAGCAUUUUGACGUUACCCACAGAAGAAGCACCGGCUAACUCCGUGCCAGCAGCCGCGGUAAUACGGGAGGGUGCAAGCGUUAAUCGGAAUUACUGGGCGUAAAGCGCACGCAGGGCGGCUUUUUAAGUCGGAUGUGAAAGCCCCGGGCUCAACCUGGGAAUUGCAUCUGAUACUGGGAAGCUAGAGUAUGUGANANGGGGGGUA